rnacentral:rRNA from 1 species
UACGUAGGGGGCAAGCGUUGUCCGGAUUCAUUGGGCGUAAAGAGCGUGUAGGCGGCCAGGUAGGUCGGUUGUGAAAACUGGAGGCUCAACCUUCAGAGGUCGACCGAAACCAUCUGGCUAGAGUCCGGGAGAGGAGAGUGGAAUCCUGGUGUAGCGGUGAAAUGCGCAGAUAUCAGGAAGAACACCCGUGGCGAAAGCGGCUCUCUGGGCCUGACCUGACGCUGAGGAGCGAAAGCGUGGGGAGCGAACAGG